rnacentral:rRNA from 1 species
UGGCUGCAGUGGGGAAUUUUGCGCAAUGGGCGAAAGCCUGACGCAGCGACGCCGCGUGAGUGAUGAAGGCCCUCGGGUUGUAAAGCUCUGUGGGGAGGGAAGAAUAAGGCAUGGCCAAUACCCAUGUCGAUGACGGUACCUCCUUAGCAAGCACCGGCUAACUCUGUGCCAGCAGCCGCGGUAAGACAGAGGGUGCGAACGUUGUUCGGAAUUACUGGGCGUAAAGCGCGUGUAGGCGGCUAUGCAAGUCGGAUGUGAAAGCCCUGGGCUUAACCUAGGAAGUGCACUCGAAACUGCAUAGCUCGAGUCCCGGAGAGGAUGGUGGAAUUCUGAGUGUAGAGGUGAAAUUCGUAGAUAUUCAGAGGAACACCGGUGGCGAAGGCGGCCAUCUGGACGGGUACUGACGCUGAGACGCGAAAGCGUGGGUAGCAAACAGGAUUAGAUACCCCAGUAGUC